rnacentral:lncRNA from 1 species
CUGGUCAAAUUGAAGAAAACAGCCGAAAGCAACCGAUGGGUAAUCAACUCAGCGAGAAAACCCCGCACCCAGAGGCGUGCUUAAGGGCAUAUGAUACAGUUACAGGGGAGGUAAUGACGUUGCUAACGUAAAAUGUUAUUUUCGCGACGUCAAACUAUGACAUAUCGGGAAAAGAUGCAUUUUUCGACUAUUUUUUAUCAUUCAAACUGAUUUAAUUUGAAAACGAC